rnacentral:rRNA from 1 species
UACAUAGGGGGCAAGCGUUGUCCGGAAUCACUGGGCGUAAAGAGAGCGUAGGCGGUUUUAUAAGUCAAUGGUGAAAGCCCGAGGCUCAACUUCGGAAUUGCCGUUGAUACUGUAGAACUAGAGUGUGGGAGAGGAAGAUGGAAUUCCUAGUGUAGCGGUGGAAUGCGUAGAUAUUAGGAGGAACAUCGGUGGCGAAGGCGAUCUUCUGGAACAUAACUGACGCUGAGGCUCGAAAGCGUGGGGAG